GCGGGUGUAGCUUAAUGGUAAAGCACCAGCCUUCCAAGCUGGCUAUGUGAGUUCGAUUCUCAUCACCCGCUC
rnacentral:tRNA from 1 species